AAAAUCCAGCCAUCACUUUAAGGAAAUUGUGAAAGUCUGCGAGUACCAUCUAAGGAUGUCAAUGUUAAUUUAAAAAAUGGAUGCUACUCUAACAGUAGCUGCAGGAAGGUUUGCUCACAUCCUCAGCCAGUCGAUGGAAGCGGACAGAGGUUAUAAGCAGUACACGUCUCCGUUCCAGGCGGCUGGCCAUAUUGCGACACACUGUAUCCAUGUAGUCCCGUUCUGCUAUGAUGUCUGGACUUAAGGAAGUUGACUCCUCCAGCAUCUCUUCUGCAGCAUGGCGCAGUUCAGCAUACUGCCCAUAGUGCAAACCUACCGUGCACUUUAUCUCCAUCUCUUCAUGGCGCCUCCUCAACUCUUCAGCUGCUUCAUAUGAGUCUCCAAUGUCAGUAUGUGAAGACAAAAGUUUUUCUCCUGGUCCCAGCACCCAGUCUACUA